rnacentral:misc_RNA from 1 species
GGGGUCGACUCAAUUUCCACAUGGGCCCAACUCUAACCCUAUAUUUUCGUAUUGCAUUCAUGUCGUGUUCGCAAGUCAUAUUUAAAAUCGCCACCCUUGAAACUUGAGAACCAAGUCUAAAUCCAAACCUAAAGAAUAAGUUAAUCGAACCAGUCAGUUUAGUUUUGGUUUCACUUCAUGAAAGACCAAUGGUUAACCAACGAAACUGAAAUUACUGUUUAUUUGUUAUAUUAAAUAUUGUAAUCGUUGUUCUUGAAAUAUUUGGCUUCCACAGUGCUCAACGAGGGAGAAGCUACUUCUUUGUAGUGGAUUGUGGCCCCUCACUAUUUGUU